AGUUUGAUAUGGCUCAGCCUGAACGCUGGCGGCGUGGCUAAGACAUGCAAGUCGUACGGGGCCCGCAAGGGUCCAGUGGCGAACGGGUGAGUAAUGUAUCGCUAACGUGCCCCCGAGUCAGGGAUAGCUGCCCGAAAGGGCAGGUAAUACCUGAUAAGACCACGACCGGGCAUCCGGUUGUGCUCAAAGCAGCAAUGCGCUCAGGGAGCGGGCGAUAUCGUAUCAGCUAGUUGGUGAGGUAACGGCUCACCAAGGCGACGACGCGUAGCCGGACUGAGAGGUUGGCCGGCCACAUUGGGACUGAGACACUGCCCAGACUCCUACGGGGGGCUGCAGUAACGAAUCUUCCGCAAUGCACGAAAGUGUGACGGAGCGACGCCGCGUGUGGGACGAAGUCCUUCGGGAUGUAAACCACUGUCAGGGGUUACCAAGUUCUGAGGAGCCCCAGAGGAAGGCACGGCUAACUCUGUGCCAGCAGCCGCGGUAAGACAGAGGUGCCAAGCGUUAGGCGGAAUCACUGGGCUUAAAGCGUGUGUAGGCGGAUCGUUAAGUACCUUGUGAAAUCCCACGGCUCAACCGUGGAACUGCUGGGUAUACUGGCGAUCUUGAGCCACCUAGGGGCGAGCGGAACAAGCGGUGGAGCGGUGAAAUGCGUAGAUAUCGCUUGGAAC
rnacentral:rRNA from 1 species